AAAUAGAACUUUGCAGAGAGAGUUAAGAGGGCGUGAAACCGUUAAUUGGCAAACGAAUCGGAGCCACGAAGUCGUUUCGUUGAGUUGCACUAGGUUCAGCUUAGGAUCCUCACGGAUCUUGGGUGUAUUCUUAGAGUGUGACCAUUGUAAGCGUACACUGCAACCAGUUAGACGAUUGGUGAUGGGCCCAGUUGAUUGUAAGUUAGUAGUAGUAUUGUAUGCUCUUCGUCGGGUAUAUUGAUGCUGCUGGGCUUAAUUAAGUGAACUAUCUACCAAAUACUGACUGGCAAAAUGAAAAUCGCCCAAAUGUGUGUGCGUAAUAUAAAAUGCUUCAGCUAGUAUAAGUGCUUACAUGCUCAACCAUAGGGUUUUAAGCUCAGCAUUUUUGAAUUUAGACUUGCAUUCUACCAGUGGGGCAACUCCUGGUGUUUGUACAGCUUCUAUCUAAUCGGGUGUUGACUUGAUUUUAUGUUGUUUGUGGUAUGCUACGAUCGAGUGCUAAUACAAAGUUGUGUGGCAAUUAAUUGGCAGUGAGUAGGUCGGCUUUCCGAACGACCCGUCUUGAAACACGGA
rnacentral:rRNA from 1 species